AUGGCGUCUCCCUCCGAUGCUCACUCCGCCGCAAGCGGCGGCGGCGGCGUGACUGCUGCCAAAACCGAUCUGGAGGAUUUCUUUGAUCAGUUAGAUCUUAAUGAGGAAGAGUUCGAGGAUGUGGUAAUCGACGAGGAUGAUCCAGAGCUCCAAGAAAGUGCUAGGUGGCUAGCCCUUGCUAGGGUUCACACCGAGAAAACCUUCAGCCAAGGCGCCUUCUACAAGGAUAUGAGAGCUGCGUGGAACCCGACGCAGAGUGUACGAUUCCGGCCUGUUGACCCCAAUCGGUUCGUAGUUCAGGCAUCAUGCUUGGGCAAUUGGGAGCGUAUGAUGAUGCAUGGACCUUGGUUGUUCCGCAACUGGGCGGUGUUACUAUGCCCAUAUGAUGGCUUCAGUAGAACUGAGGAUGUAAGUAUUAUUCACAUGCCUAUAUGGCUGCAAAUCCACAAGUUACCAGAUGUCUAUUGCAAGAAGAACAUUGUGGAAAAGCUGCUGAAAAGUGCAGGUGAAUUAAUGGAGAUGCGUUUGAAUGGAAACACCAGAGUUGAUUAUGUAAGGGUGAGGGUGAAACAUGACACCCGAGAGCCUCUGACGAAAUUUGUGAGCAUUGUCCAUGGUAAAGAACGACAGGUUUAUCUUGUUCGCUAUGAAAAAUUGGCGAGGUUUUGCAAGGUUGUGGUCUGGUAG
rnacentral:rRNA from 1 species